AGCAGCCGCGGUAAUUCCAGCUCCAAUAGCGUAUAUUAAAGUUGUUGCAGUUAAAAAGCUUGUAGUUGAAUUUCGGGGUCAGUAGGCUGGUCGUGCCACAGGUACGUACUGGUCUCACUGAUUCCUCCUUCCUGAUGAACCGUAAUGCCAUUAAUUUGGUGUUGCGGGGAAACUGGACUGUUACUUUGAAAAAAUUAGAGUGUUUAAAGCAGGCUAACGCUUGAAUACAUUAGCAUGGAAUAAUGAAAUAGGACGUUCGAUCCUAUUUUGUUGGUUUCUAGGAUUGACGUAAUGAUUAAUAGGGAUAGUUGGGGGCAUUAGUAUUCAAUUGUCAGAGGUGAAAUUCUUGGAUUUAUUGAAGACUAACUACUGCGAAAGCAUUUGCCAAGGAUGUUUUCAUUAAUCAAGAACGAAAGUUAGGGGAUCGAAGACGAUCAGAUACCGUCGUAGUCUUAACCAUAAACUAUGCCGACUAGGGAUCGGAUGAUGUUAAUUUUUAAUGACUCAUUCGGCGCCUUAC
rnacentral:rRNA from 1 species